rnacentral:rRNA from 1 species
UACAGAGGGUGCAAGCGUUAAUCGGAAUUACUGGGCGUAAAGCGUGCGUAGACGGUUAUUUAAGUCAGGUGUGAAAGCCCCGGGCUCAACCUGGGAAUUGCAUUUGAGACUGAAUAGCUAGGUUGCGGAAGAGGGAAGCGGAAUUUCCGGUGUAGCGGUGAAAUGCGUAGAUAUCGGAAGGAACACCAGUGGCGAAGGCGGCAUCCUGGACCAAUAUUGACGCUGAGGAGCGAAAGCCAGGGGAGCAAACGGG